AUUCCGAUUGAUCCUGCCGGAGGCCAUUGCUAUUGGGAUCCGAUUUAGCCAUGCUAGUCGCACGAGUUCAGACUCGUGGCGAAUAGCUCAGUAACACGUGGCCAAACUACCCUUCGGAACACAAUACCCUCGGGAAACUGAGGCUAAUAGUGUAUACCAUACCACCACUGGAAUGAGUGGUAUGCCAAACGCUCCGGCGCCGAAGGAUGUGGCUGCGGCCGAUUAGGUAGACGGUGGGGUAACGGCCCACCGUGCCAAUAAUCGGUAUGGGUCAUGAGAGUGAGAACCCAGAGACGGAAUCUGAGACAAGAUUCCGGGCCCUACGGGGCGCAGCAGGCGCGAAACCUUUACACUGCACGACAGUGCGAUAGGGGGAU
rnacentral:rRNA from 1 species